rnacentral:rRNA from 1 species
GGAUUCGAUUAGAGUUUGAUUCUGGCUCANNNNNAACGCUGGCGGCGUGCUUAACACAUGCAAGUCGAACGGGGUAGCAAUACCCAGUGGCGAACGGGUGCGUAACACGUGAGGAACAUGCCCUUCGGCGGGGAAUAGCCGGCCCAACGGCCGGGUAAUACCGCGUACGCCCUUUGGGUGGCAUCACCUGGGGGGGAAAGCAGCAAUGCGCCGAUGGAGUGCCUCGCGGCCUAUCAGCUAGUUGGUGAGGUAACGGCUCACCAAGGCGACGACGGGUAGCUGGUCUGAGAGGAUGAUCAGCCACAUUGGGACUGAGACACGGCCCAGACUCCUACGGGAGGCAGCAGUGGGGAAUCUUGCGCAAUGGCCGAAAGGCUGACGCAGCGACGCCGCGUGUGGGAUGACGGUCUUCGGAUUGUAAACCACUGUCGGGAGGGACGAAGCUCUGACGGUACCCCCAAAGGAAGCACCGGCUAACUCUGUGCCAGCAGCCGCGGUAAUACAGAGGGUGCGAGCGUUGUCCGGAAUCACUGGGCGUAAAGGGCGCGUAGGCGGCCUGGUAAGUCGGGGGUGAAACGCUGCGGCUCAACCGCAGCACUGCCUUCGAGACUGUCAGGCUUGAGCACGGUAGAGGCUGGUGGAAUUCCCGGUGUAGCGGUGGAAUGCGUAGAGAUCGGGAAGAACAUCGGUGGCGAAGGCGGCCAGCU